AUGAUCGAGCCUGACAAAUUUCACUGCGGUCCAGUCGAUCUGUCGACUGGCUCUGCAGAUACUUUUUCCGAGCACGGGAGCUGUGACCACAUGGCAGAAGUUCUCAUGGUCGACUCCCGUCGCAGCCCACCCGAGUUUGGCCGCAACAGCGGCAACAUCGACGGCGACGGCCCAUCAUACGAUCACGAUGAGUACGAGCCCCAACCUCUCAAUUUGCAGCAGAGGGAGGAGUUGUAUCGCCGCAACGUGAAGGCGCUCCAGACCCCCAUCGUGGGGGAAACCGCCGACACUCGGGCCUUGGAGGCUGCACGCCUGGCCAUGCUGGCUGAGCGCGCGCGUCUGGAGAACCUCCAGCAUUCUCUCGACGAACGCGCCCGUCGACUGAUCCCCGAAACCAGUCGACGUCAAUGA
rnacentral:rRNA from 1 species